CCUACGGGGCGCAGCAGUCGAGAAUCAUUCACAAUGGGGGAAACCCUGAUGGUGCGACGCCGCGUGGGGGAAUGAAGGUCUUCGGAUUGUAAACCCCUGUCAUGUGGGAGCAAAUUAAAAAGAUAGUACCACAAGAGGAAGAGACGGCUAACUCUGUGCCAGCAGCCGCGGUAAUACAGAGGUCUCAAGCGUUGUUCGGAAUCACUGGGCGUAAAGCGUGCGUAGGCUGUUUCGUAAGUCGUGUGUGAAAGGCGCGGGCUCAACCCGCGGACGGCACAUGAUACUGCGAGACUAGAGUAAGGGAGGGGGAACCGGAAUUCUCGGUGUAGCAGGGAAAUGCGUAGAUAUCGAGAGGAACACUCGUGGCGAAGGCGGGUUCCUGGACAUUAACUGACGCUGAGGCACGAAGGCCAUGGGAGCGAAAGGGAUUAGAUACCCGAGUAGUC
rnacentral:rRNA from 1 species